AGUUGUCUCGCCAGAGGCAUCGCUGGGUAGCUAUGUAGGGAAGGGAUAAACGCUGAAAGCAUCUAAGUGUGAAGCCCACCUCAAGAUGAGAUUUCCCAUGAUUUUAUAUCAGUAAGAGCCCUGAGAGAUGAUCAGGUUGAUAGGUUAGAAGUGGAAGUGUGGUGACACAUUUAGCGGACUAAUACUAAUAGCUCGAGGACUUAUCCAA
rnacentral:rRNA from 1 species